GACGAACGCUGGCGGCGUGCUUAACACAUGCAAGUCGAACGGAAAGGCCCUGCUUUUGUUGGGUGCUCGAUUGGCGAACGGGUGAGUAACACGUGAGUAACCUGCCCUUGACUUUGGGAUAACUUCAGGAAACUGGGGCUAAUACCGGAUAGGAGCUCCUGCUGCAUGGUGUGGGUUGGAAAGUUUCGGCGGUUGGGGAUGGACUCGCGGCUUAUCAGCUUGUUGGUGGGGUAGUGGCUUACCAAGGCUUUGACGGGUAGCCGGCCUGGGAGGGUGACCGGCCACAUGGGGACUGCGAUACGGACCAGACUCCUACGGGAGGCAGCAGUGGGGAAUAUUGCACAAUGGGCGGAAGCCUGAUGCAGCAACGCCGCGUGCGGGAUGACGGCCUUCGGGUUGUAAACCGCUUUCGCCUGUGACGAAGCGUGAGUGACGGUAAUGGGUAAAGAAGCACCGGCUAACUACGUG
rnacentral:rRNA from 1 species